rnacentral:rRNA from 1 species
AUUGAACGCUGGCGGCAGGCCUAACACAUGCAAGUCGAGCGAGCGGCGGACGGGUGAGUAAUGUAUGGGGACUGCCCGAUAGAGGGGGAUAACUACUGGAAACGGUAGCUAAUACCGCAUAUUAUCGGAUAACCCAAAUGGGAUUAGCUAGUGGGUGAGGUAAUGGCUCACCUAGGCGACGAUCCCUAGCUGGCCUGUGAGGAUGAUCAGCCUCGCGGGAGCGGAGACAGGGCCCAGACUCCGACGGAGGCGGCAGUUGGGAAUAUUUCACAAUAGGGGCAAGCCUGAUGCAGCCAUGCCGCGUGUAUGAAGAAGGCCGUAGUGUUGUAAAGCACUUUCAGUCGGGCGGCGUUACCGAGAGAAGGAGCACCGGCGAACUCCGUACCAGCAGCCGCGGUAAUUC